GGGCCCGUAGCUCAGUCAGGUCAGAGCGGAGGACUCUUAAUCCUUAGGCCGCGGGUUCAACUCCCGUCGGGCCCGCCA
rnacentral:tRNA from 1 species